AGAUCGUUUUUUUUCUGGAAAAGAAGAACAUAUCCGGAUGGUUUUUUUCUCACCGGCUGUCUUUUUGUCGGUUGGUUUCUUUCCCCUGAAACGAUUAAAGUUCAUACAGUGUCUAAUGAGAUAGAAGUGGGUAUGUUUUAGAUCUCAUAAUCACCGGAUUUAUAAAGUGACGAAGGUUUUAUAUGUCGAUCCUCAUUAACAGAGUUCCUUCUCUUGGUUUCAAUAUUCGUCUAUAGUGUUUUCGACCUGAAUAUAAGUGAUGGAGUAAUGUACAAGUUUUGCCAGAGAAGAUAAGUAGCUACUCAGUCUUUCUUAUAAAUUGAAUCUAAUCAUUCUACUUUAUAUUUGAAAAAACUUACUUUUAAAUAUUUGUUUUGUAGGUUAAAUUCGAAGACAACAUGUUGAUGAAAAGGAAUCAAAUACGGGACUUGUUUCUACACACCACAAGUCUACACACCAAUUCAUACCAGAUAAAGAGGUGACCUGCAAACAUCAUACCAAAACUUUGGUUUUUGUGGCUUACUCUCAAAUUGGUAAAAUCCAGUGCGUAUAUGGGUCACUUUUUUA